rnacentral:rRNA from 1 species
CCUACGGGGUGCAGCAGUGAGGAAUAUUGGUCAAUGGACGAGAGUCUGAACCAGCCAUGCCGCGUGAAGGUCAGUGCCCUAUGGGCGUUAAACUUCUUUUGUGCGGGAGCAAUAAUGGUCACGUGUGGCCAGACGAGAGUACCGUACGAAUAAGCAUCGGCUAACUCCGUGCCAGCAGCCGCGGUAAUACGGGGGAUGCAAGCGUUAUCCGGAUUUAUUGGGUUUAAAGGGUGCGUAGGCUGUGAGGUAAGUCAGCGGUGAAAUGCCCCCGCUCAACGGGGUGAAGUGCCAUUGAUACUGCCUUGCUGGAAUGCGGAUGCCGUGGGAGGAAUGUGUGGUGUAGCGGGGAAAUGCAUAGAUAUCACACAGAACACCGAUUGCGAAGGCAUCUCACGAAUCCGCGAUUGACGCUGAUGCACGAAAGCGUGGGUAUCAAACAGGAUUAGAUACCCGAGUAGUC